ACUCGUGGCUCGAGGACGACGCUGGCGGCGUGCCUAACACAUGCAAGUCGAACGAAGCUCCCGAUCGGAUUCUUCGGAUGAAGAGAAGGAUGACUGAGUGGCGGACGGGUGAGUAACGCGUGAGCAACCUGCCUUUCAGAGGGGGAUAACAGUUGGAAACGACUGCUAAUACCGCAUAACAUAGUAUUGUCGCAUGGCAAAGCUAUCAAAGCUGAGGCGCUGAAAGAUGGGCUCGCGUCCGAUUAGAUAGUUGGUGGGGUAACGGCCUACCAAGUCGACGAUCGGUAGCCGGACUGAGAGGUUGAACGGCCACAUUGGGACUGAGACACGGCCCAGACUCCUACGGGAGGCAGCAGUGGGGGAUAUUGCACAAUGGGCGAAAGCCUGAUGCAGCAACGCCGCGUGAGGGAAGACGGUUUUCGGAUUGUAAACCUCUGUCUUUGGUGAAGAAGGAAGUGACGGUAGCCAAGGAGGAAGCCACGGCUAACUACGUGCC
rnacentral:rRNA from 1 species